CAACGCAGAAAUCACAGGGUUUACGGGAGAAGGAAUUCCAGGCACUGAUCCCCGCACACCUGAACACAUCCCUCCCAACCCACUGGAAUUCUUAUUUUUAAAAAAAAAAUCUCUCCUGCAAAAUGGUUAAUUGCAUGUGCAACUAAAUUUCCUGUUGCAUCGAAAAGCCAAACUGGGCAGCCUGAACUGACUCUCCCAAGGGACCAAGAAAAUUGAGCAAGGGGAGGGCGACCCUCCCCAGACACAGGGCUGCACACCCACAAGUAGCCCUUGGUUUCUUAAGGAAGGGCAGAUUUCUGAGGAAAGGGCAGAAGCGCUAAAGGAAGAAACGAAAAAGAAUCUGCUGUGUCCCCACCUUCCACCUUUUCUUUCCCCCAAAAUUAGUGCCUACUUGAUUAUUUGCAGCUGUUUGGAACCUCAAGCAGAUCUCCACCCCUCCAGCCCUGGGCUCGAGCCUUGGAACCUCGGUCAGCUCUACGCGUCUCUACGCCCCAGUCACUUCAGCCCUCUGCACCCAGCGCCGGGGCCACAGGCUGGUUCCCACCGCUGGGGUGUGGCCCUGAUAUCCCCAGAGCGGAUUUCCCACCCGGAGAGGUCGGAGAGGUCCUAGGACCUCACUGACGUUUGCCACCGGCCCUCCUGCCUCCUCCUUGACCUUGGACUUCGUGCCGCCUGCCCACGAGCAGCAAACCUGGAGUCCACUGGCCACGCAGUCCCCAGCGGGCUCCGACACCCGGCUGGCGCCCUCGACACGGAGUGGGUGGGUGGUGAAACACACAGUGGGGCUGGGCACGGGGUCCUCUUUAGACACAAUAAAGGAGAGGGGAGGCAGAGACUGACCACGGAGAAAGUUCGGGAAGCUUUAGGUGCAGCCUGGGAGGAGCCCUUCAAUGCCACAGGCGGAAAGCUAGGGGUUUAGGCCACACCUUUGCAUCCUUAGGCUGCCUGGAGAGAUCGCGGGUGGGAAACGUGCCCGCAUCCCCACGCCACGACUGCCACCCAUUGCCGUGGCCACCUGGCCACAGCCUCUCGCGCCGUGGAGCCCGUGGCGCCUGAUCUUCGGCCCCACAGCGGCCCGCGCAUCACUCGCUGGUGGCGGCCGGCGAAGCCGGGUGUCACCCCGCAAGUCCCGGGUCGGUGGCUCCCGUCGAGGAGAGAGGGGACCAGGCCUGCACCUCGGGGGAGCCCCGGCGGUGGUCAGCAGCUCCCCUCGAGGCUAGUUCCCCUCCCACUCGGCACAGCCCGGUCCCCUCUUUGUCACUCCGGGGGCUUCUAAUCACUCCCUAUCGAUUUCCCUAACUCUUUUCAUCCCGUUGAAGACACAUCUUAAAACACUCCGGCCCGGAGUGUGCUCUGGGCUUUAUCCACACUAAUAAAAUGAUUUACCCUGC